rnacentral:rRNA from 1 species
GAUGAACGCUGGCGGCGUGCCUAAUACAUGCAAGUCGAGCGAACAGACGAGGAGCUUGCUCCUCUGACGUUAGCGGCGGACGGGUGAGUAACACGUGGAUAACCUACCUAUAAGACUGGGAUAACUUCGGGAAACCGGAGCUAAUACCGGAUAAUAUAUUGAACCGCAUGGUUCAAUAGUGAAAGACGGUUUUGCUGUCACUUAUAGAUGGAUCCGCGCCGCAUUAGCUAGUUGGUAAGGUAACGGCUUACCAAGGCAACGAUGCGUAGCCGACCUGAGAGGGUGAUCGGCCACACUGGAACUGAGACACGGUCCAGACUCCUAAGGGAGGCAGUAGGGAAUCUUCCGCAAUGGGCGAAAGCCUGACGGAGCAACGCCGCGUGAGUGAUGAAGGUCUUCGGAUCGUAAAACUCUGUUAUUAGGGAAGAACAAAUGUGUAAGUAACUAUGCACGUCUUGACGGUACCUAAUCAGAAAGCCACGGCUAACUACGUG